AGUGAACGCUGGCGGUAGGCCUAACACAUGCGAGUCGAACGGCAGCACAGUAAGAGCUUGCUCUUACGGGUGGCGAGUGGCGGACGGGUGAGGAAUACAUCGGAAUCUACUUUUUCGUGGGGGAUAACGUAGGGAAACUUACGCUAAUACCGCAUACGACCUACGGGUGAAAGCAGGGGAUCUUCGGACCUUGCGCGAUUGAAUGAGCCGAUGUCGGAUUAGCUAGUUGGCGGGGUAAAGGCCCACCAAGGCGACGAUCCGUAGCUGGUCUGAGAGGAUGAUCAGCCACACUGGAACUGAGACACGGUCCAGACUCCUACGGGAGGCAGCAGUGGGGAAUAUUGGACAAUGGGCGCAAGCCUGAUCCAGCUAUACCGCGUGGGUGAAGAAGGCCUUCGGGUUGUAAAGCCCUUUUGUUGGGAAAGAAAAGCAGCAGGUUAAUACCCCGCUGUUCUGACGGUACCCAAAGAAUAAGCACCGGCUAACUUCGUG
rnacentral:rRNA from 1 species